rnacentral:sRNA from 1 species
GUUUUGCGUUAGGGAUUGCAGUGAUAUCCUUUUAUUUGUCACUUUGAGCGAAGCGGAAAAGUUGUCAAAUAAAAGAUUUAACGAAAAGCCCGACCGUUA